GGGGGGGACGCCUGUUCGUUCCAUGACAGUCGACGGCAGCACGGGUGCUUGCACCUGGUGGCGAGUGGCGAACGGGUGAGUAAUACAUCGGAACAUGUCCUGUAGUGGGGGAUAGCCCGGCGAAAGCCGGAUUAAUACCGCAUACGAUCUACGGAUGAAAGCGGGGGACCUUCGGGCCUCGCGCUAUAGGGUUGGCCGAUGGCUGAUUAGCUAGUUGGUGGGGUAAAGGCCCACCAAGGCGACGAUCAGUAGCUGGUCUGAGAGGACGACCAGCCACACUGGGACUGAGACACGGCCCAGACUCCUACGGGAGGCAGCAGUGGGGAAUUUUGGACAAUGGGCGAAAGCCUGAUCCAGCAAUGCCGCGUGUGUGAAGAAGGCCUUCGGGUUGUAAAGCACUUUUGUCCGGAAAGAAAUCCUGAGGGCUAAUAUCCUUCGGGGAUGACGGUACCGGAAGAAUAAGCACCGGCUAACUACGUGCCAGCAGCCGCGGUAAUACGUAGGGUGCGAGCGUUAAUCGGAAUUACUGGGCGUAAAGCGUGCGCAGGCGGUUUGUUAAGACCGAUGUGAAAUCCCCGGGCUCAACCUGGGAACUGCAUUGGUGACUGGCAAGCUAGAGUAUGGCAGAGGGGGGUAGAAUUCCACGUGUAGCAGUGAAAUGCGUAGAGAUGUGGAGGAAUACCGAUGGCGAAGGCAGCCCCCUGGGCCAAUACUGACGCUCAUGCACGAAAGCGUGGGGGAGCAAACAGGAUUAGAUACCCUGGUAGUCCACGCCCUAAAACGAUGUCAACUAGUUUGUUG
rnacentral:rRNA from 1 species